GCUAAAUAGCUAGCUUAAAUACAUAAAUUUCCAUAACAACAUUAAAAACCUAUUCUUGACCAAAACCACAAAAAUAAAACAUUCUUCCGCCCUAGUAUGAGUGACAAAAAAGGUCCCAUAAGCUAUAAAAAAGUACCGCAAGGGAAAGAUGAAAGAGAAAUGAAAUAAACCAUUUAAGCCUAACAAAGCAGAGAUUAAAACUCGUACCUUUUGCAUCAUGAUUUAGCCAGUCAUUCUGAGCAAAGAGCACUUUAGUUCACUACCCCGAAACUAGGUGAGCUACCCCGAGACAGCCUAUUGCAGGGCCAACCCAUCUCUGUGGCAAAAGAGUGGGAAGAUCUCCGGGUAGAGGUGACAGACCUACCGAACCUAGUUAUAGCUGGUUGCCUAAGAAAUGGAUAAAAGUUCAGCCUCACAUUCCCCGAUUCAUAAAAAGUUUAUACUGACCCAAGAACCCGAGAAACACGCGAGAGUUAGUCAGAGGGGGUACAGCCCCUCUGAAAAAGGAUACAACCUUACCAGGAGGUUAAAGAUUAUAUUAAAUAAGAUUCCUGCCUUAGUAGGCCUAAAAGCAGCCAUCUAAACAGAAAGCGUUAAAGCUCAAGCAGACAAAAAUCUAUUAUCUCAAUAAUCUUAUCUUAAACCCCUAAUCAUAUUAGGCCUUUCUAUGCAAACAUAGAAGCGAUACUGCUAAAAUGAGUAACAAGAAGGACACGCCCUUCUCCUAGCCCACGUGUAAGCUAGAUCGGACCCUCCACUAGCCAUUAACGAACCCACUAAAAGAGAGUAGUACGACUAUUAAUGUUGACCAGGAAAAACCCGUAACUUACUAUCGUUAACCCUACACCGGAAGGCCUAUAAGGAAAGACUAAAAGAAGAAAAAGGAACUCGGCAAACACAAGCCUCGCCUGUUUACCAAAAACAUCGCCUCCCGCAAAAAUCAAUGUAUAGGAGGUCUUACCUGCCCAGUGACAAUAAGUUAAACGGCCGCGGUAUUUUGACCGUGCAAAGGUAGCGCAAUCACUUGUCUUUUAAAUGAAGACCUGUAUGAAUGGUGAAACGAGGGCUUAACUGUCUCUCUCCUCUAGUCAGUGAAAUUGAUCUAUCCGUGCAGAAGCGGAUAUACCCCUACAAGACGAGAAGACCCUUUGGAGCUUAAGAUAAAACCCAACUAUGUUAAAAGUCAAAAAAGACUAAACCAAAUAGCCCUGGUUCCUAUCUUCGGUUGGGGCGACCACGGGAGAAAAUAAAGCUCCCAUGAGGAUUGGGGAAAACCCCUAAAACUAAGAGAGACAUCUCUAAGGCACAAAACAUUUGACCACUGAUCCGGCUACACGCCGACCAACGAACCAAGUUACCCUAGGGAUAACAGCGCAAUCCCCUUUCAGAGUCCAUAUCGACAAGGGGGUUU
rnacentral:rRNA from 1 species